AUGGCAGCCGCAGCACUGAGGGCGCAGCUGAACGCCCAUAUCGCCGGCAUGUACACCAAUGGUGUGGUGGACGAGGAUACAUUCGAGGAGCUGCGGGACGAGGGCACCGCCGCCGAGGUCUCCCGCCUCUUCAUCUACGACGCCUCCGAGAUCAUCGACGACAUCGACCUCCAGAUGGAGGAGCCUGAAUUGGACUUUGACGAGGUGGAAGCCCUGACGCAGCAGCUCAUGCGGUGCACCUCCAGGUCUCUCGUGUCAUUGGCUCUUGUUAGGAAUGAGUUCUAUAUUGUGCGACAUGAGUUGGAGAUCGUGAUGCAGCUCGAAGAGCAGAUCGCGGCAUGUGGUCCUGACUCCUAA
rnacentral:rRNA from 1 species